UACGUAGGGGGCUAGCGUUGCCCGGAAUCACUGGGCGUAAAGCGCACGUAGGCGGUUCUUUAAGUCAGGGGUGAAAUCCUGGAGCUCAACUCCAGAACUGCCUUUGAUACUGGGGAUCUCGAGUCCGGAAGAGGUGAGUGGAACUCCGAGUGUAGAGGUGAAAUUCGUAGAUAUUCGCAAGAACACCAGUGGCGAAGGCGGCUCACUGGCCCGAUACUGACGCUGAGGUGCGAAAGCGUGGGGAGCAAACAGG
rnacentral:rRNA from 1 species